GUUAACCAUUAUGAUGAAUAAUUUACCAUGGCCAACGAUUAUCAUUGGUUAAACUGUAAAACCGUUUGAAAGGGUAAAUUUGAUUUUCUGUAGACAUGGCAACAGGUUAACUCACAGUUUAAAACAAAAUCUGGUUUUCUGGUCUUUCCUUCAACUUUUUAACCGUAAUAGCAAUUCAACUUGUCGGUAAUCUAAAUAGUUAAAUACAUUUACAACAAAAACGUAUAAUUAAUUAAGUGAAGUGUUUCAAUUUUUAAAAUCAUCAUCUUUUAAACAAAUUAUAAUUGGUUGUGGUGAAAAUAAGUUAAAUAAAGACAUUAACAAGAGACCGGUUGUUAUGUAAAAGUCAGCAACAAAAAUGGAGGUAAAUGAGAAUUCUAAUGGUUAACUAAUUAACAACUGAGUUGAUCAUCAUCAUCAAUAACAACAGAAUCAUCAUCUAUACCACCGACAACAUGAUCCAAAUCAUCUAAAGCAACACUUUUACCACCAUAAUCAUCAUUAAGUGUAUAUUUUAAUCGGUAAUGGUUCACUUGGCGUAACAAGAUCUGUGUAUCAGCAUUUUCAUGUUUCCAGUUGCCUAUUGGUGUAGCUAUUUUUUUGUUGGUGAAUAUCGUCUGAUUGAAUUCAAGUUAACUGAAUAAUUGUAGACCAAGGAACAAAUACAAAGGAAAACUAGAUAAAAUGAUAAAUUGGAUUAGAGUUUGUAUUUACAAGUCACUUUUCAUUGAAAAUUAAUGGAAAUGAGCAGCUACAGUGAAAGUUAAUCAACAGAAACUAACGAUCAUUAAGGCAAAGUAAGACAAAUUGUGAUAUGAAAAUUUUCCCUUUUUGUCUCUCUCCCUCUCUCUCUUCCUUCUCUUUCUUGUCAUCCUGUUCUUCUCUCUCUCACUUUUCUCUCUGUCUACCGAUUUCUCUCUUUUCUUCCUCUGUCUAUCUGUCAUAAAUGUGAAUAAUGUUCAUGAUUUGAUAAAGCUUCAAUUUAUAAAUCUUAAUCUCGUUGCUUCUUCUUCCACAAUCAGCUUCUUAUUAUCCUCAUCUACAGCAUCAAUUAAAGUCUCAUCAACAUCA